rnacentral:rRNA from 1 species
CAAUAGCCUGCUGUCUAGUUUAGCAAUAACAGUGAAACUGCGAAUGGCUCAUUAAAUCAGUCAUAGUUUAUUUGAUGGUACCUUACUACAUGGAUAACUGUGGUAAUUCUAGAGCUAAUACAUGCUGAAAAAUCCCGACUUCUGGAAGGGAUGUAUUUAUUAGAUCCAAAACCAAUGGCCUUCGGGUCCCUAUGGUGAAUCAUGAUAACUGCUCGAAUCGCAUGGCCUUGCGCCGGCGAUGCUUCAUUCAAAUAUCUGCCCUAUCAACUUUCGAUGGUAGGAUAGAGGCCUACCAUGGUGAUGACGGGUAACGGGGAAUAAGGGUUCGAUUCCGGAGAGAGGGCCUGAGAAACGGCCCUCAGGUCUAAGGACACGCAGCAGGCGCGCAAAUUAUCCCCUGGCAACACUUUGCCGAGAUAGUGACAAUAAAUAACAAUGCAGGGCUCUUACGGGUCUUGCAAUUGGAAUGAGUACAAUUUAAAUCCCUUAACGAGGAUCAAUUGGAGGGCAAGUCUGGUGCCAGCAGCCGCGGUAAUUCCAGCUCCAAUAGCGUAUAUUAAAAUUGUUGCCGUUAAAAAGCUCGUAGUCGAACUUCGGGCUCUGUCAGCCGGUCCGCCUUCUUGGUGUGUACUUGUUUGACGGAGCCUUACCUCCUGGUGAACGGCGAUGUCCUUUACUGGGUGUCGUCGCAAACCAGGACUUUUACUUUGAAAAAAUUAGAGUGUUCAAAGCAGGCCUUUGCCCGAAUACAUUAGCAUGGAAUAAUAAAAUAGGACGCGCGUUCCCAUUUUGUUGGUUUCUGAGAUCGCCGUAAUGAUUAAUAGGGAUAGUUGGGGGCAUUUGUGUUCCGUCGUCAGAGGUGAAAUUCUUGGAUUGCCGGAAGACAAACUACUGCGAAAGCAUUUGCCAAGGAUGUUUUCAUUGAUCAAGAACGAAGGAAGGGGGAUCGAAAACGAUUAGAUACCGUUGUAGUCUCUUCUGUAAACUAUGCCAAUUGGGGAUCGGUACAGGAUUUUUAAUGACUGUAUCGGCACCCGAAGAGAAAUCUUUAAAUGAGGUUCGGGGGGGAGUAUGGUCGCAAGGCUGAAACUUAAAGGAAUUGACGGAAGGGCACCACCAGGUGUGGAGCCUGCGGCUUAAUUUGACUCAACACGGGGAAACUCACCAGGUCCAGACACAAUAAGGAUUGACAGAUUGAUAGCUCUUUCUUGAUCUUGUGGUUGGUGGUGCAUGGCCGUUCUUAGUUGGUGGAGUGAUUUGUCUGGUUAAUUCCGAUAACGAACGAGACCUUAACCUGCUAAAUAGACCAGCCGGCUUGGCUAGCUGC